rnacentral:tRNA from 1 species
GACGAGGUGGCCGAGUGGUUAAGGCGAUGGACUAAUCCAUUGUGCUCUGCACGCGUGGGUUCGAAUCCCAUCCUCUUAG